rnacentral:rRNA from 1 species
GACGAACGCUGGCGGCGUGCUUAACACAUGCAAGUCGAACGGAAAGGCCUGCUUUCCCUUGUGGAUUGCGGGUACUCGAGUGGCGAACGGGUGAGUAACACGUGUGUGAUCUGCCCCCAACUUGGGUAUAAGUCUGGGAAACUGGGUCUAAUUCCCGAUAGGACUGCAGGGUGGUGCCUUUGGUGGCAAAUGCUUUUCUAGUGGUUGGGGAUGAGCUCGCGGCCUAUCAGCUUGUUGGUGGGGUAAUGGCCUACCAAGGCGGCGACGGGUAGCCGGCCGGAGAGGGUGGACGUCCAGAUUGGGACUGAGAUACGGCCCCUACUCCUACGGGAGGCAGCAGUGGGGAAUGGUGGACCAUGGGCGGAAUCCUGAGGCAUCGACGCCGCGUGGGAGAUGACGGCCUUCGGGUGGUAAACUUCUUUCGACCGCGAGGAAGCCACCUGGUUGGAAGGGUGGUGACGGUAGUGGUAGAAGAAGCGCCGGCUAACUACGUG